rnacentral:rRNA from 1 species
GAUGAACGCUGACAGAAUGCUUAACACAUGCAAGUCUUUUGCGAAUCUGUGCUUGCACAGCCUAGCCAAGGCGGACGGGUGAGUAACGCGUAAGGAACUUGCCCUGCAGUCAGGGAUAACAGACGGAAACGACUGAUAAGACCUGGUAAAGUCAGGCGGACUCAUGUCCAGCCUGAUGAAAAGAGAUGCUGCAGGAGAGCCUUGCGUCCUAUUAGCUUGUUGGUGGGGUAACGGCCCACCAAGGCGAUGAUAGGUAGCCGGCCUGAGAGGGUGGACGGCCACAAGGGGACUGAGAUACGGCACUUACUCCUACGGGAGGCAGCAGUGGGGAAUAUUGGACAAGGGGGGCAACCCUGAUCCAGAAAUUCUGUGUGAACGAUGAAGGUUUUCGGAGUGUAAAGUGAUUUCAGCAGGGAGGAAAAAAAUGACGGUACCUGCAGAAGAAGCGACGGCUAAAUACGUG